UGCCAGCAGCCGCGGUAAUACGGAGGGUGCAAGCGUUGUUCGGAGUCAUUGGGCGUAAAGCGCGCGUAGGCGGCUAGGCAGGUCGGGUGUGAAAUCCCGGGGCUCAACCCCGGAAGUGCAUUGGAUACUGGCAGUCUUGAGUAUGGGAGAGGAAAGUGGAAUUCCGAGUGUAGGAGUGAAAUCCGUAGAUAUUCGGAGGAACACCAGUGGCGAAGGCGGCUUUCUGGACCAAUACUGACGCUGAGAUGCGAAAGCGUGGGGAGCAAACAGGAUUAGAUA
rnacentral:rRNA from 1 species